AAGAGUCUCCUCCCGUUUUAUUUUAGAGCAAUUUUAUAGUUCUUAAGAAGGUAUCAACAAGUAUCAAAAUUUUAUAGUACCUCACAGUACCUACUUAAGAACGGUAAAAUUUCUCUUUAUUUUAUAACUACUGAACUACAACACGAUGAACAUUGCAAUUGUAAUACUAUAUACACAUCCAUAAAACAUAGCAGAAGCAGAUCGGAGGAACAACACUGGCUUUAAUUAGUUGCAUACUUGCAUGCUCUAUCAUAGGCAUUUGUACUAGAUCAUUGGAUGAGAUUGUAGUCGAAGGCCCCAAAGAGAUCGAGCAAUGCUCCAUGAAUGUGUCAUGGAUCGGGCUGGGUGGCCAUGGCGGCGCUUGCGGCAGCGCAACACUCGG
rnacentral:lncRNA from 1 species